rnacentral:lncRNA from 1 species
ACCCUGUAUACAUUUAUCAAUUCUAGUACCUUAAUAGCUACCCAACAAGUCAUUAACAUACAAAAGCAUGUGUCAUGAGAAAAAGAAAGACCACAUUCUGCUUGUUAGCAACUUGUCACUCCGGGAGCAGCAGAGCUCACGUCAGUGAGGUCUGUGAAAAGUCACUUUUUGUGUUCAUCCUGAGUGAAAGCUGGAUGACUUAAGGCCUUCACCUAAGCUCUCUCUCCUGUUAUCUGGUGAGCCAACUGGAUGUCUUUGGGCAUGGUGGUACUUUCAGUGUGGAUGGCACGCACAUUAGUAUCUUCAAACAGGCCCACCAGGUCUGCUUUGGUGGCCUCCCAAAGGGCACCAGUAGCUGCACUCUGAAGCUUCAAGUUGGUUUUGAAAUCCUGGAGGACCUCUCUUACCAGCCUCUGGAAAGGCAACAUGGAUGAGAAAAUUGGUUCAUUUCUGGAAACAAUGACACGGUCCCAGGCCUGUAGCCUUGAGGUUUCUUCACCCUCAGGUAGAGGAAGUGCUUUUCCUGGCAGCCUUGGGGGCCAGCUGUUUGCAGUGUAUGUGUGUAGGAGGUGGGUUUACCACCAGGGGACUUACCAGUGGUCUCUUUGGUUCAGGCCAUUUUCUCUUACCCAAUGCCAAAAUAUUAAGCUGCUCUUCUGCCCAGUGUGGUGAGCUGCUGCCCAGUGAAGAUCAUAGCCCCCCAGCAGAAGAACGAUGCUACUCCAGCCAACCACCAAGCCGCUCUGCACCCCCAUAGUCCUGAUUAUAGUGUCAGAAAAUAGAACGGAGGAGAGGUAGUAGCUCAAGGGACAAUGAUUGAGAGUUGAGAAGUGUUUGGUUUUGUUUUUUAACUAGUUGGUGAAAAGGAUGACUACAGGAAUAGGGAACACACAGACAAUAUAGAAAUGAGUCAACAUUUAGACUUUAGUGAAACCCAGAACAUCAUAAAUACGACAAGAAAUUAAAAUGAGGCAGAACAAAGAUAGAAUGAUUAUAAAGGAAUGAGAAUGAACAGCAGACUUCUCAAUAGUGAUAAUGAAAACCAGGAAGCAAUGGAAUAUCAUCUACAAAGUGCAGAGCAAAAAAAGAUUUUUUUUGGAAUCACGUACAUGGCCAAACUGCCUUUCGGGGCUAGAAGUGCAUUUGUUUUCUAUUGCUGCAUAACAAAUUGCUCCACAUUUAGAAGCUUAAAAACAUCACAUUUAUUAUCACAUGGUUUCUUUGUUUGGAAGUUCAGGACAGCUUAGCCGGCUUCUCUGCUCAAAGUCCACUGAGCUGCAGUCUUGGUGUUGGCUGGGGUUGCUCAAUGCAGGGACUGACUGGGGAAAGCUCUGCUUCCAGCCUCCUGCAGGUGGCUGACUGAAUUCAUCUCUCUGCAGCAGAGGACAGAGGUCCCUCUUUUCUUGCUGACUGUUGGCUCAGGGCUGCUCACAGCUGCUAGGGACAUCCCACAAUUCCUUGCAGUGUGCUCCUCUCCAGAGGCCCCUCACACAUGACAGCUUACUUUUUCAAACUAACAAGGGAGAACGUUCUCUGGCUCCAGUUGCUAAGGUCCAGUCUUGUGGAACACAAUGCCACCAUUUGAGUGGUUUCCCAUCCCCUUUGCCAUAUCCUGUUGUGAGAAGCAAGUUGCCUCUCCUGUGUGUAUUCAAGAGGGGUAGUUCACACAACGGUUGGAUGUUAGCAGGUUGGGAUGUUUGAGGAUCCCCUUAAGGUCUGUCCACCCCAGAGGUGAAAUGAAAACAUUUCUAGAUACAGAAAAAAGAGGCUUUUUCAACAAAUAGUCUUUUUUUUUUUUGUCUUUUUAACAAAUAGUCUUUUUUAAAGAAGAUUCUAAAAGAUGAUCUUUAGAAAUAAGGAAAAUAGUUUGGAGGAUGGUUGAGAUUCAGAAAGAAUGGCCAACAAAUCAUUUAGUAAAUAUGUUACAUUGAUUAUCUACUGCUCCAUAAUAAAUUACCCCAAACUCAGCCACUUUGGGUAAUAAACAUUGGUUAUUUCACACAGUUUCUGGGGAUCAAAGAAACUGAGCUGGGCGGUUCUGGCUCAGGUUAAAGAGGUUGCAGUCACCUGUCAGCCAGCGAGGCAGUUGCCUGAAGCCUGGAGAAUCUACUUCCAAGCUCACUUCGUGGUUCAUGGUGGGCCUAGUUUUCUAGCAAGUUUUUGGACGGAGGCCCUUGAUUCUUUGCUACUCGGGCCCCUCCACAGGGUUGUCUGAGUGUCCAUAAGAUGGCAACCGGCUUUCCCCAGAAUGAGCAAUCUGAGGGAUGUGGGAGAGGGAAGGGGAAGAUGUGGUGGUGGGGUGGGGGCGUUUACAACCUGACUGGUACUGGGAGCAGCAUGCCAUUCCUUCUACCGUGCUCUAGGUCACAUAGGCCACCCAUGGAGCAGGGUGGGGGAGCUGAUGAGAACCAUAUGCCAGGAGGCACUGGGGGCCAUCCUGAGAACUGUCUGCUGCACCGUGGGUGGAUUGAGAUACUACUCUCACAAAGUACAAAUGCUAAGACCUACUUUAUAGGAUUUUUAAAGAACAAAGCAAAUAUUAUGCAAUAUUAGCAUACAUAUCAGGAAGGGUGAUUGGUAGUUUUGUAUUUUUCAAGGUAUUAUGCCUAAUAAUUAUUAUAGCUAUUACCUUUGGACUUCUAAAUCUUUGAUAAGUUGACUACACAGGUGAAAUUCCAAAGGCAACCACUAAAAGGUCAGAAAUAGGUUGUACAGUUUCUAAACCAGUCAAGAGAAAAUGUGAAUAAGAAAAAAAAUCAAUCCAAAAGAAAGAAAAGGAAAAUAGAAGUAAUUACUAGAAAAUUAGGGGACAAA